AAAGUCGUAACAAGGUUUCCGUAGGUGAACCUGCGGAAGGAUCAUUCUGGGAUGAUGGAGGGGAGAGGGGGAUACCUCUCUCCCUGUGCAGUCAUGCGAGAGGGUAACCUCUUUGCAAUCACACUUUUGAAUCUAAUACAUGUAUUUUACACACACACUUUCAACAAUGGAUCUCUGGGCUCUU
rnacentral:misc_RNA from 1 species